GGCCCUAUCGUCUAGUGGUUAGGACACCACGCUUUCAAUGUGGUAACGCGGGUUCGAUUCCCGCUAGGGCUG
rnacentral:tRNA from 1 species